rnacentral:sRNA from 1 species
UAAAAAAACUUUUUGCCGUAGACAGUAGGGGCAAAUGCUUAAUAAUCCUACCGAGGAAAGUUAAAUCUAAACUCUGAUUGCUUUCCGUAUGGAAAGUUUUUUUAUAA